UACGAAGGGGGCUAGCGUUGCUCGGAAUUACUGGGCGUAAAGCGCACGUAGGCGGAUUGUUAAGUCGGGGGUGAAAUCCUGGAGCUCAACUCCAGAACUGCCUUCGAAACUGGCGAUCUUGAGUACGGGAGAGGUGAGUGGAACUGCGAGUGUAGAGGUGAAAUUCGUAGAUAUUCGCAAGAACACCAGUGGCGAAGGCGGCUCACUGGCCCGUAACUGACGCUGAGGCACGAAAGCGUGGGGAGCAAACAGG
rnacentral:rRNA from 1 species